UUAUAUGGAGAGUUUGAUCCUGGCUCAGGACGAACGCUGGCGGCGUGCCUAAUACAUGCAAGUCGAGCGGACGGAUGGGAGCUUGCUCCCAGACCAUCAGCGGCGGACGGGUGAGUAACACGUGGGCAACCUGCCUGUAAGACUGGGAUAACUCCGGGAAACCGGGGCUAAUACCGGAUAAUUCUUUCCCUCACAUGAGGGAAAGCUGAAAGAUGGCAUCUCGCUAUCACUUACAGAUGGGCCCGCGGCGCAUUAGCUAGUUGGUGAGGUAACGGCUCACCAAGGCCACGAUGCGUAGCCGACCU
rnacentral:rRNA from 1 species